rnacentral:ncRNA from 2 species
UCAUGGAAGUCGAAAUCCGCUAAG